rnacentral:rRNA from 1 species
AUUGAACGCUGGCGGAAUGCUUUACACAUGCAAGUCGAACGGCAGCACGGGGGCAACCCUGGUGGCGAGUGGCGAACGGGUGAGUAAUACAUCGGAACGUGCCCAGUCGUGGGGGAUAACGUAGCGAAAGUUACGCUAAUACCGCAUACGAUCUACGGAUGAAAGCGGGGGACCGUAAGGCCUCGCGCGAUUGGAGCGGCCGAUGUCAGAUUAGGUAGUUGGUGAGGUAAAGGCUCACCAAGCCGACGAUCUGUAGCUGGUCUGAGUGGACGGCCAGCCACACUGGGACUGAGACACGGCCCAGACUCCUACGGGAGGCAGCAGUGGGGAAUUUUGGACAAUGGGCGCAAGCCUGAUCCAGCCAUUCCGCGUGCAGGACGAAGGCCUUCGGGUUGUAAACUGCUUUUGUACGGAACGAAAAGGCUCUGGUUAAUACCUGGGGCUCAUGACGGUACCGUAAGAAUAAGCACCGGCUAACUACGUGCCAGCAGCCGCCGUAA